rnacentral:rRNA from 1 species
CAGUAGCCGCGGUAAUACGUAGGGUGCGAGCGUUAAUCGGAAUUACUGGGCGUAAAGCGUGCGCAGGCGGUUCGUUAAGACAGAUGUGAAAUCCCCGGGCUUAACCUGGGAACUGCAUUUGUGACUGGCGAGCUAGAGUAUGGCAGAGGGGGGUAGAAUUCCACGUGUAGCGGUGAAAUGCGUAGAGAUGUGGAGGAAUACCGAUGGCGAAGGCAGCCCCCUGGGCCAAUACUGACGCUCAUGCACGAAAGCGUGGGGAGCAAACAGGAUUAGAUACCCGCGUAGUCCCUGUCUCUUAUAA